GGACUACCGGGGUAUCUAAUCCUGUUUGCUACCCACGCUUUCGUGUCUCAGCGUCAGUGAUGGUCCAGAAAGCCGUCUACACCGCAGGUGUUCCUCCUGAUAUCUACGCAUUUCACCGCUACACCAGGAAUUCCGCUUUCCUCUCCCAUACUCAAGCCCUCCAGUUUUCGGCGCACCCUCCCAGUUAAGCCGGGAGAUUUCACACCGAACAUAGAGAACCGCCUACACACUCUUUACGCCCAGUAAUUCCGAACAACGCUUGCUGCCUACGUAUUACCGCGGCUGCUGGCAC
rnacentral:rRNA from 1 species